rnacentral:rRNA from 1 species
GCAGGACACAUUGAUCAUCGACACUUCGAACGCACAUUGCGGCCCUGGGUCCCUCGCGGGGCUACGUCUGCCUGAGGGUCGCU